rnacentral:tRNA from 1 species
GACCGCGUCGAGCUCAGUUGGCAGAGCAUUGGGCUAAUGUUCCAAAGGUCGUAGGUUCGAUUACCACCGUGGCCA